UAUGUACAAAAUCAAGCCGAACGCCAAGAAGGCCCAUGACGAAUCAAUAACCAGUAGGAAGCUUUUUGAAUGACUGCAAAUGUUAAACAUGCUCUUGGAGGGUUGCCUUGAUGUCACAAUAUUACAUUGGUUUGCCAUGCAUUUUUGAGUCGCCUAAUUCUAGGUGUGCUUUUUUUCAAUCCACAAAAAAUCACUGGAUCACGGGGUAAAACACUUCUUGAAGACGUUAAAAAAACGUAAA
rnacentral:lncRNA from 1 species